CGGGGUGCACCAGGCGCGAAAACUUUACACUGCGGGAAACCGCGAUAAGGGGACCCCGAGUGCCAGCACCUAGUGCUGGCUGUCCCGCUGUUCAAAAAACAGUGGUUAGCAAGGGCCGGGCAAGACCGGUGCCAGCCGCCGCGGUAACACCGGCGGCCCGAGUGGUAGCCGUUAUUAUUGGGUUUAAAGGGUCCGUAGCCGGCUUAUUAAGUCUCUUGGGAAAUCUGGCGGCUUAAUCGUCAGGCGGCCAAGAGAUACUGGUAGGCUUGGGACCGGGAGAGGUGGGAGGUACUCCAGGGGUAGGGGUGAAAUCUCGUAAUCCUUGGGGGACCACCGAUGGCGAAGGCAUCCCACCAGAACGGGUCCGACGGUGAGGGACGAAAGCUGGGGGCACGAACCGGAUUAGAUACCCGGGUAGUCCCAGCUGUAAACGAUGCUCGCUAGGUGUCAGGUGCGGUGCGACCGCAUCUGGUGCCGCAGUGAAAACUUGAAGCGAGUCACCUGGGAAGUACGGUCGCAAGGCUGAAACUUAAAGGAAUUGGCGGGGGAGCAC
rnacentral:rRNA from 1 species